rnacentral:rRNA from 1 species
AUUGAACGCUGGCGGCAGGCCUAACACAUGCAAGUCGGACGGUAGCACAGAGGAGCUUGCUCCUUGGGUGACGAGUGGCGGACGGGUGAGUAAUGUCUGGGGAUCUGCCCGAUAGAGGGGGAUAACCACUGGAAACGGUGGCUAAUACCGCAUAACGUCGCAAGACCAAAGAGGGGGACCUUCGGGCCUCUCACUAUCGGAUGACCCCAGAUGGGAUUAGCUAGUAGGCGGGGUAAUGGCCCACCUAGGCGACGAUCCCUAGCUGGUCUGAGAGGAUGACCAGCCACACUGGAACUGAGACACGGUCCAGACUCCUACGGGAGGCAGCAGUGGGGAAUAUUGCACAAUGGGCGCAAGCCUGAUGCAGCCAUGCCGCGUGUAUGAAGAAGGCCUUCGGGUUGUAAAGUACUUUCAGCGGGGAGGAAGGCGGUGAGGUUAAUAACCUUGCCGAUUGACGUUACCCGCAGAAGAAGCACCGGCUAACUCCGUGCCAGCCGCCGCAGUAAUAC